CAGUCGCCGCGGUAAUACGUAGGUCCCGAGCGUUGUCCGGAUUUAUUGGGCGUAAAGAGAGCGCAGGCGGUCAGGAAAGUCUGGAGUAAAAGGCUAUGGCUCAACCAUAGUGUGCUCUGGAAACUGUCUGACUUGAGUGCAGAAGGGGAGAGUGGAAUUCCAUGUGUAGCGGUGAAAUGCGUAGAUAUAUGGAGGAGCACCAGUGGCGAAAGCGGCUCUCUGGUCUGUCACUGACGCUGAGGCUCGAAAGCGUGGGUAGCGAACAGGAUUAGAUACCCCCGUAGUCCCUGUCUCUUAUACA
rnacentral:rRNA from 1 species